rnacentral:lncRNA from 1 species
AUUCAAUUUUUUCUGGGAACAAAUUAAGUCAUUGCAAGCCUUUUUUCAAAAAAAAAAAAAAAAAAAAAUUAAGUCAUUGCCACUUGGCCAGUAUGGACUUGGAUUUCGACUCAGUCAGUUUACAUGAUAGUCCAAUAUCCGACGAUCUGGCUAUCCCUGACAUUAGUCGGAAGACAUUCCAAACUCAAGUUAAGCAAUAUGGUAUUCAGUCUACUAUGUAUCACUAAGUGUGUUAUUUCCGAGACCGACCGAAUCGGCCGUUAAACAUACAAAAUAAAAGAAAAAAAAAAACAUUUUUACUUUUCUUUUUUCUUUUGCAUAAGAAAUAACAUGUAUUGCCCAAUGCGGCAAUGCGUGAUCGUCGUCUAGUUUGUUAUUCCUUAAGUUCAACUUCUACUAGAAACAAAUGUAAAAUUGAGAUUCCG